rnacentral:rRNA from 1 species
AAUGAACGUUAGCGGCGUGGAUUAGGCAUGCAAGUCGCGCGAGAAGGGUUUGGUGCUUGCAUUGGACCUGGAAAGCGGCGAAAGGGAGAGUAACGCGUAGAUUACCUACCUUGGGGUUCGGGAUAGCGGCGGGAAACUGCCGGUAAUACCGAAUAAUAUCUCUGGAUUAAAGGUGCGAUUCCGCCUGGGGACGGGUCCGCGUCCUAUUAGCUUGUUGGUGGGGUAACGGCCUACCAAGGCGACGAUGGGUACGAGGUGUGAGAGCAUGACCUCGCUCACUGGGACUGAGACACUGCCCAGACACCUACGGGUGGCUGCAGUCGAGAAUCUUCGGCAAUGGGCGCAAGCCUGACCGAGCGACGCCGCGUGCGGGAUGGAGGCCUUCGGGUUGUAAACCGCUGUCGGAGGGGAUGAAAUGCCGUGGGGUUCUCCCUGCGGUUUGACAAACCCUCAGAGGAAGUGCGGGCUAAGUUCGUG